AUUAUAUUCCAUGCAUGUAUGAGUUUGCUAAAAUGAAACCAAAUGUUAUGUACAACUAUAAUGCACUCAUAAAAGAAAGAAAAAGAAAGAAAGAAAGCAUUAUUCUUAGGUAGUUUAUGAUUUGACAGUUUUCAGUGCAGUCUUUCAUAUUUAAAUCUGUAAUAGAUUUUUGUUAUCAUAUGUGGGAAAGCUUGACUUUUUUUAAACCUAAUAUUCUUAUAUUUGUAGAUUUAUUUGCCAUUCAUGAUUUUUAGGUUGGUUGCUGUUCGUGUAUUUUUUUCUUCUGUUGUUCUGCUCGAUGACAAAGGCACGGGAAGCUUUGGCAUCACUCAGCACACAUUCACCUGCUCCUCAAAGUCUUGAAAUUUUGUUUAUACAAAAAUUUGUAUCAAAUGCCGGCAAGUUGUAGGGAAACUGUUAUGGGUGUGGCUGCGAAAAUGAAGACAA
rnacentral:lncRNA from 1 species